ACCCAGCUUAGAGGUGAAGAACCCAGGCUUUAGAGAAGUCAAGUCACCUGCCUGAUGUCAUACUGCUGGUAAACGCUGUGCAGAAUUUGAACACUGUGUGUCAAACUCCACUGCGUUUCCCUGCCUCAAAAGAGCCUUUCAUUUCUUCCUUGAAAGAGCUGCCCCACACUGACACAAACCCAUGCAGGGCGAGAACAGGACACACCUUCUGACGCGGCACUCCUGGGUAGGCUGUUGCAGGAAUGGCCCCCCAGUUGUUUACACCUUCCUAUCUUCACACCCUUGGGUUCCCCCUUUUCACAUUGAUUCUGGGCUCAGUCACAUGACUUACUUUGGCCAACAGACCAUUAGCAACUGUGACAGACACUUAUAAAAUACUUAUGCACUGGGUUUGUGUGCCCUCUCUUGUUCUCCUUGGAACCCUCAUGUGGAAAGCCCGGGCUGGGCUGCAGUAGCAUGGACAGACCCACAUGGAGCACAGGUGAGCUGUUCCUGCCUAGACCUCUCCAGACCGAGCAGCCUCCCAACCACCAGACAGGCGAGGGAGGGCCUCUUUGACCAUCCAGCUUGGGCUGUGCUAUCUACACCAGAACAAACACCCAGAAGACCCACAGAAUCAUAACGUUCUGAAAACUGCUUACUUGUGCCUGAAGAACCAGGUAUUAUGGAGCGAAGAGGGGGAGAAGUACCAGGUGCAAGACCAUCUGAGAGUCAGAAAUCAUUGAAAUCUCACAUUUGCAUUUUGUGCUUGGCUCUAGGAAAAGGUAUGUACACUGCAGGCUGACUUUCUACCUUAUUAUUAAGAGUUGUGUGAUUUUGAAACCCCUAACGGUUCUACAUUGAGAUCACUUAGCUUUUUUAAAAAAUGAUAAA